AGUGAACGCUGGCGGUAGGCCUAACACAUGCAAGUCGAACGGCAGCACAGUAAGAGCUUGCUCUUACGGGUGGCGAGUGGCGGACGGGUGAGGAAUACAUCGGAAUCUACUUUUUCGUGGGGGAUAACGUAGGGAAACUUACGCUAAUACCGCAUACGACCUACGGGUGAAAGCAGGGGAUCUUCGGACCUUGCGCGAUUGAAUGAGCCGAUGUCGGAUUAGCUAGUUGGCGGGGUAAAGGCCCACCAAGGCGACGAUCCGUAGCUGGUCUGAGAGGAUGAAGGGGGAGACGGGAACAGAGUCACGGUCGGGGCUGCAACGGGAGGCAGCGGGGGGGAAUGGUGGACAAUGGGCGGAAGCCUGAUCAGCCCAUACGGGGGGGGUGAAGAAGGACUUCGGGUUGUAAAGCCCUUCUGUUGGGAAAGAAAGGCAGCAGCUUAAUACCCCGCGGUUCUGAGGGUACCCAAAGAAAAAGCACCGGCAAACUUGGUG
rnacentral:rRNA from 1 species